GCUCUACAAAGAAGAGGCAAAAAAGUUCUAGGGUUUGCGUUGCUGGUAUCGAAAGUUUCAAAGAUGAUCGAGGUGGUGUUGAACGAUCGAUUGGGGAAGAAAGUGAAGGUGAAGUGCAACGAAGAUGAUACCAUUGGUGAUUUGAAGAAGCUGGUUGCUGCACAGACUGGUACACGCGCCGAUAAGAUUCGUAUUCAGAAGUGGUACAAUGUUUACAAAGAUCAUAUUACCCUAAAGGACUACGAAAUUCAUGAUGGGAUGGGCCUUGAGCUCUACUACAACUAGAAUAAACUAUAGAGUUAGAAGCAGAAGUUGCUAUCCUAUGACUUCUUGCGUCUCAAUCAGGUUUAUGGAAAAUACACUGGUGGACGUAUCUCAGCUGCCAUGUUUUAAAUAAAAGAUUGAUUGUUGGCUUGUAAUGUAAAGUUUGACAUGUUUAAUCAACUUGAGGAAAAUGCUCUCAACUCUGUGAAUGUCAUGUGUCUGGUUGGUAUUUUGCCUUGUGGUACAAGGGUUAACAUAUGCCAUAUGUGCUCUUAGAUUUUCUUAUCAAUUUUUUUUAAUUUUGCUGUGGAAAAAAUAGAGAUCGUGUCUUGAGCUUUAUUGUUCUUUAACAAUAUUGCUGGCUUACUUCUGAAGAGGUUUUGAACGA